AUUUAGAAUUUGGAUUCUGAUCCCACGUUGAUACAGCCCACAUCUGACACAAUACUCUCUUUUCUGGACAGGGUCUCUUUAAAACAGAUACCUACGGAUAAAUUGGAUACUCUAAAUUCUCCUAUUAUCGCUAACGAAAUUAGGGAUGUCAUUACUAUGAUUCCACAGGUUAAAGCUCCCGGGACCUCAUGGCUUUACAAUGGUGUGUUAUAGGACUUUCUCCAGCAUUCUUAUCCCUUAUUUAACUUAAUCAUUACUGGAACACAGGUGGAAUGCCGGGGGAGGCCUUGUGCACCCAAAUAGUUAUACUACCUAAACCUAGUAAGAUACCUAAUAUAUGUUCCAAUUUUUACCCUAUCUCAUUAAUUAAUAAUGAUACUUAGAUUUAUUCCAAAAUCUUAGCAAACAGACUUAAUCGACUUCUUCCAUACCUAAUUGACAAAGACCAGAUGCGUUUUGUUAUGAACCGUCAGGCUCCGGAUUGCACCAGGCAUUUCAUCAAUUUGAUUAAUCUAC